GACGAACGCUGGCGGCGUGCUUAACACAUGCAAGUCGAACGGUGAACGAGGGAGCUUGCUCCCUCCGGAUCAGUGGCGAACGGGUGAGUAACACGUGAGCAAUCUGCCCCGAACUCUGGGAUAAGCGUUGGAAACGACGUCUAAUACCGGAUACGCCGCGGGAGGGCAUUCUCUCCGCGUGGAAAGAACUUCGGUUCGGGAUGAGCUCGCGGCCUAUCAGCUUGUUGGUGAGGGAACGGCUCACCAAGGCGACGACGGGUAGCCGGCCUGAGAGGGUGACCGGCCACACUGGGACUGAGACACGGCCCAGACUCCUACGGGAGGCAGCAGUGGGGAAUAUUGCACAAUGGGCGCAAGCCUGAUGCAGCAACGCCGCGUGAGGGACGACGGCCUUCGGGUUGUAAACCUCUUUUAGCAGGGAAGAAGCGAAAGUGACGGUACCUGCAGAAAAAGCACCGGCUAACUACGUG
rnacentral:rRNA from 1 species